GAUGAAGAACGUAGUGAAAUGCGAUAAGUAAUGUGAAUUGCAGAAUCCAGUGAAUCAUCGAAUCUUUGAACGCACAUUGCGCCCUUUGGUAUUCCAAAGGGCAUGCCUGUUCGAGCGUCAUUUGUACCCUCAAGCUUUGCUUGGUGUUGGGCGUCUUGUCUCUAGCUUUGCUGGAGACUCGCCUUAAAGUAAUUGGCAGCCGGCCUACUGGUUUCGGAGCGCAGCACAAGUCGCACUCUCUAUCAGCAAAGGUCUAGCAUCCAUUAAGCCUUUUUUUCAACUUUUGACCUCGGAUCAGGUAGGGAUACCCGCUGAACUUAAGCAUAUCAAUAAGCGGAGGA
rnacentral:misc_RNA from 1 species